rnacentral:rRNA from 1 species
AGCGAACGCUGGCGGCAGGCCUAACACAUGCGAGUCGAACGAAGCCUUCGGGCUUAGUGGCGGACGGGUGAGUAACACGUGGGAACGUACCUUUUGGUUCGGAACAACUCAGGGAAACUUGAGCUAAUACCGGAUGAGCCCUUAGGGGGAAAGAUUUAUCGCCGAAAGAGCGGCCCGCGUUAGAUUAGCUAGUUGGUGAGGUAAAGGCUCACCAAGGCAACGAUCUAUAGCUGGUCUGAGAGGAUGAUCAGCCACACUGGGACUGAGACACGGCCCAGACUCCUACGGGAGGCAGCAGUGGGGAAUCUUGCGCAAUGGGCGAAAGCCUGACGCAGCCAUGCCGCGUGAAUGAUGAAGGUCUUAGGAUUGUAAAAUUCUUUUACCAGGGACGAUAAUGACGGUACCUGGAGAAAAAGCCCCGGCCAACUUCGUGCCAGCAGCCGCCGUAACAC